rnacentral:rRNA from 1 species
AGAGUUUGAUCAUGGCUCAGAAUGAACGCUGGCGGCGUGCUUAACACAUGCAAGUCGAACGAGAAACCCCGGCUUGCCGGGGGAGUAAAGUGGCGCACGGGUGAGUAACGCGUGGGUAAUCUACCCUCGAAUUGGGGAUAACCCCGCGAAAGCGGGGCUAAUACCGAAUAAGACCACGAUGGCCUCGGCCAUUGGGGUCAAAGAUGGCCUCUGCCUGCAAGCUGUCGAUUGAGGAUGAGCCCGCGUCCCAUUAGCUAGUUGGUGGGGUAAUGGCCCACCAAGGCAACGAUGGGUAGCUGGUCUGAGAGGAUGGCCAGCCACACUGGAACUGGAACACGGUCCAGACUCCUACGGGAGGCAGCAGUGAGGAAUUUUGCGCAAUGGGGGAAACCCUGACGCAGCAACGCCGCGUGAGUGAUGAAGGCCUUCGGGUUGUAAAGCUCUGUCAAGUGGGAAGAAACUUUUUCGGCUGAAUAAUCCGAAAAACUGACGGUACCACUGAAGGAAGCACCGGCUAACUCCGUGCCAGCAGCCGCGGUAAUACGGAGGGUGUAAGCGUUAUUCGGAUUUAUUGGGCGUAAAGGGCGUGUAGGCGGUCUGAACAGUCAGGUGUGAAAGCCCUUGGCUUAACCAAGGAAGUGCACUUGAAACUAGCAGACUUGAGUACGGGAGGGGGAAGUGGAAUUCCUGGUGUAGAGGUGAAAUUCGUAGAUAUCAGGAGGAAUACCGGUGGCGAAGGCGACUUCCUGGACCGAUACUGACGCUGAGACGCGAAAGCGUGGGGAGCAAACAGGAUUAGAUACCCUGGUAGUCCACGCCGUAAACGAUGGGCACUAGGUGUAGCGGGUAUUGACCCCUGCUGUGCCGAAGCUAACGCAUUAAGUGCC